rnacentral:rRNA from 1 species
GACGAACGCUGGCGGCGCGCUUAACACAUGCAAGUCGAACGGAAGGCCUGCUUUCCCUUGUGGAUUGCGGGUACUCGAGUGGCGAACGGGUGAGUAACACGUGAGUGAUCUGCCCCCAACUUGGGUAUAAGCCUGGGAAACUGGGUCUAAUUCCCGAUAGGACUGCAGGGUGGUGCCUGUGGUGGAAAACGAUUUUCUAGUGGUUGGGGAUGAGCUCGCGGCCUAUCAGCUUGUUGGUGGGGUAAUGGCCUACCAAGGCGGCGACGGGUAGCCGGCCUGAGAGGGUGGACGGCCACAUUGGGACUGAGAUACGGCCCAGACUCCUACGGGAGGCAGCAGUGGGGAAUAUUGCACAAUGGCGGAAGCCUGAUGCAGCGACGCCGCGUGGGGGAUGACGGCCUUCGGGUUGUAAACUCCUUUCGACCGCGAGGAAGCCACCUGGUUGGAAGGGUGGUGACGGUAGUGGUAGAAGAAGCACCGGCUAACUACGUG